ensembl:lncRNA
AGAACUUUCACAGCAAUACUUAUAUGGUAAUUUCAUCCAUACUAGAAUGUUAUUGAAAUUAAGUUGAAAUGACAUGCCUUGGUUUGAACCUUUUGAACUCACAUUCCAAAAGUUCUUGUUAAUAUUCAGAACAGCCAUGAUGAGUAAUCACCAGGUCUGUUAUUGGCCACUUCCCUGGUUUAUUGUUGUGCAUGGGCCUCACCACAGCGCGCCUUGCUGCAACACUGACUCAGAGACAUUUGGGGGGAAACAACCCCUUGUCUCAGAAUGAACCAUACCAUUGUGUACCAUGAAGUGAAUGUGUAACUGAUUUCACGCUUCAGUGAACAAGCUACAUUUAACCAGACUGCUGGGAGGGCUCACUGCUCAGACAUCAUGUACUGCAGGUGUAUGAAUAUACAUUGCAACAUAUUUCAUCCAUGAUGAUGAAUGUUAAAUAUCUCACUGUUUGCCAGUACUUUGGAAGUACAGUGGACAAUAACAGAUAAAGAUGACCUUUUCCAGGUGCCCAGAGGAUAGGAAGGAACUUCAUUCUCUUUAAAACUGUGCAUUUCCCAGGCAAGUGUCUGCAUGUUUGGCUGGCUCCAUGUAAAGGCCUUCAGCUAAUCGGUCAAACUGCUCCAGAGGCUUUCAUCACUCCAGACACUCACUGCUGUGACGUCCUCAACCAGGACAGAGUGGGAUUGUGGCCGUUGUGGCCGUUGGCGUAGAGAUGCGAGAUGUUGUGCCUCCUCGUCAAGCAAACACAGACGGGUCAGAGACGAGGAGACCCCGAGGCCAGGCAGAAAGGAGACGGAGCAGGAGGGCCCACCCGUGCCUUAUGACCUCACCUUCUGUGAUUUUCCACAUUCAGCUGCCCCACCAAGGGCACUUUAAUUGUCCUCGGGGGGCUGUUUCUCCUCUUCUACUUGCUUUUCUCUCUUUGUGAGGGCUUCCUCUCUGAGUUGGAUUGCACUGAAUCACAUAGAUCAGCUUAAUGUUUAACUGUGCCUCACCCCAUUGUGGCUCCCUGUUCAGCUUUACAGCUCCUUGUGGUAGCGACUCGGUGGACAUGUUGGGUGUGUUACUUGUGGGCCGUGUACAGUACCAUUGGACAUCAGCAUGGUAGGCUCGUGUUGAGGGCUGAACCUUUUACGUGUCAUUUGUAGUUUGACAUAAAAAAUGGCUUUCUGAAUUUUUUUUUAAUUAUCUGUGUACAUUUUUAACAAAUCAGCCCAUACCCAAGUAACAGAACAGGAUGUGCACAAAUAAUCUGCAGACACAGAAGAAAGAAGAUGAAAUCCUAAGUCUGAAACCGAUUCCUGAACAGCCAUGUUUAACUUCCUUGAUGUUCAGUGCUAUUGGGCAGGACUUGGAACAAGGAAGGCUUGACUGAAGCACCAGUUUGUAUCUAUCUAUCCCUCGAGACCAGGUACUCAUUGCCACCUAAAAGUCUACUUCAUAUCUUCCUUACAUUAGCUGCAUCAGGAUGCCAUGAUUCUCCUUCAUCUUUCAUCUCGUGGGUGUGAAGGGGCAUCAGGGUCACAUUCCAGGGCUACUAUUGUUUUCAUCCCCAGUGCCAUUUCUCUCUGACGGUCAAGUAAUACUACUAUAUUCGU